UACGGAGGGUGCAAACGUUGCUCGGAAUCAUUGGGCGUAAAGCGUCACGUAGGCGGCCUGAUAAGUCGGGUGUGAAAGCCCUGGGCUCAACCCAGGAAGUGCACUCGAAACUGUCAGGCUUGAAUAUGGAAGAGGGUCGCGGAAUUCCCGGUGUAGAGGUGAAAUUCGUAGAUAUCGGGAGGAACACCAGUGGCGAAGGCGGCGACCUGGGCCAAUAUUGACGCUGAGGUGCGAAAGCGUGGGGAGCAAACAGG
rnacentral:rRNA from 1 species